UACGAAGGGGGCUAGCGUUGCUCGGAAUCACUGGGCGUAAAGGGUGCGUAGGCGGGUCUUUAAGUCAGGGGUGAAAUCUCGGAGCUUAACUCCGAAACUGCAUUCGAUACUGCCGUGCUUGAGGACUGGAGAGGAGACUGGAAUUUACGGUGUAGCGGUGAAAUGCGUAGAUAUCGUAAGGAAGACCAGUGGCGAAGGCGGGUCUCUGGACAGUUCCUGACGCUGAGGCACGAAGGCCAGGGGAGCAAACGGG
rnacentral:rRNA from 1 species